rnacentral:rRNA from 1 species
CAGGCUUAACACAUGCAAGUCGAGGGGCAGCAUUUUAGUUUGCUUGCAAACUGAAGAUGGCGACCGGCGCACGGGUGAGUAACACGUAUCCAACCUGCCGAUAACUCCGGAAUAGCCUUUCGAAAGAAAGAUUAAUACCGGAUAGCAUACGAAUAUCGCAUGAUAUUUUUAUUAAAGAAUUUCGGUUAUCGAUGGGGAUGCGUUCCAUUAGUUUGUUGGCGGGGUAACGGCCCACCAAGACAACGAUGGAUAGGGGUUCUGAGAGGAAGGUCCCCCACAUUGGAACUGAGACACGGUCCAAACUCCUACGGGAGGCAGCAGUGAGGAAUAUUGGUCAAUGGGCGAGAGCCUGAACCAGCCAAGUAGCGUGAAGGAUGAAGGCUCUAUGGGUCGUAAACUUCUUUUAUAUGGGAAUAAAGUUUUCCACGUGUGGAAUUUUGUAUGUACCAUAUGAAUAAGGAUCGGCUAACUCCGUGCCAGCAGCCGCGGUAAUACGGAGGAUCCGAGCGUUAUCCGGAUUUAUUGGGUUUAAAGGGAGCGUAGGUGGAUUGUUAAGUCAGUUGUGAAAGUUUGCGGCUCAACCGUAAAAUUGCAGUUGAAACUGGCAGUCUUGAGUACAGUAGAGGUGGGCGGAAUUCGUGGUGUAGCGGUGAAAUGCUUAGAUAUCACGAAGAACUCCGAUUGCGAAGGCAGCUCACUAGACUGUCACUGACACUGAUGCUCGAAAGUGUGGGUAUCAAACAGGAUUAGAUACCCUGGUAGUCCACACAGUAAACGAUGAAUACUCGCUGUUUGCGAUAUACAGUAAGCGGCCAAGCGAAAGCAUUAAGUAUUCCACCUGGGGAGUACGCCGGCAACGGUGAAACUCAAAGGAAUUGACGGGGGCCCGCACAAGCGGAGGAACAUGUGGUUUAAUUCGAUGAUACGCGAGGAACCUUACCCGGGCUUAAAUUGCAACAGAAUAUAUUGGAAACAGUAUAGCCGUAAGGCUGUUGUGAAGGUGCUGCAUGGUUGUCGUCAGCUCGUGCCGUGAGGUGUCGGCUUAAGUGCCAUAACGAGCGCAACCCUUAUCUUUAGUUACUAACAGGUGAUGCUGAGGACUCUAGAGAGACUGCCGUCGUAAGAUGUGAGGAAGGUGGGGAUGACGUCAAAUCAGCACGGCCCUUACGUCCGGGGCUACACACGUGUUACAAUGGGGGGUACAGAAGGCGGCUACCUGGUGACAGGAUGCUAAUCCCAAAAACCUCUCCCAGUUCGGAUCGAAGUCUGCAACCCGACUUCGUGAAGCUGGAUUCGCUAGUAAUCGCGCAUCAGCCAUGGCGCGGUGAAUACGUUCCCGGGCCUUGUACACACCGCCCGUCAAGCCAUGAAAGCCGGGGGUACCUGAAGUACGUAACCGCAAGGAGCGUCCUAGGGUAAAACUGGUAAUUGGGGCUAAGU